CUCCCUCGUUGAGAAUUCAAACCCGAGUAUUUAUUUGGUCACUACACAGUCUACACCUACACUCAACAUUUCAACCACUGAGCUAUGUCCCAGGGACUAUAUAUGAAGGUUAAUACAGACAACAUUCAACAAUUGAUCCACCCAAAUGGAGGAUUCAUGAUUUCGUGCCAGUCAUCACUUUUUACAUGGGAAUGUGUUCUUACCUGAAUAAACCAUCCCCUAUAUGUAUGUGUAAGCAAGCAUAUUCUUUCAAUGAUGUUAAAUUCAAUGUUUUUAUUAAUGAAAAUUAUUUAAUUUGUA